CACCAUUGUGCAUGUUUAUACAACCUUGCAAAUUUACUAGCAGGAAUUUCCAUUGUGUUUGCAGCCCUUACACAGUUACACUUUGUGUUUCAUUAUGACAUCUUGACCUUGAAAGAGUCUAUUACUGUGACUCCAACAUUUUCCCGUUCGGCGUUAGAAACACAAUACAUUGAUCAUAAAAUGACUGAAAUAUUACAGAUUUAAAAGCCUGACACCUAGCGGCAAAGUUUAAAUUUCACACAAGUAGCGAUGAAUGGUGAUCACUGUGGUUGUAUUUCGGUCUUGUUAGGCUACACCAUGUUCUUUUGACCACCUAUCCGUAACAGGAUUAUUUGCAUCAACAGCCGUAAAAAAAGCACCCAAAUAAACAGCAGUUUGCGAAUAUUAUUGUUGCGAUUUAAAAAGGUUGCAGCCCGUUCCAACUUUGUAAAAUUGAAAAUUGUGAACUUUUGUCCUCUAUUUCAAGCUUGUAGCCUUCCAAGUUUACUCACAUAAAAUGACUUUCGCUUUAUAAAGUCUGUUUCAUCGGAAAACUUUUAAGGUUCAUCGGAAAAAUAAAAAAAAUAUGUACAAAAUCGAUGAUACCAUUCGCUCGCAGUAAGCGGCCAUCUUGAAUUCAGCGACGAAUAGUAAUGACGUAAUUUUUAUUUUUUAUUAAUGACGUAAUUGUCAUUUUGUGGCUAACGAUCCAAGAUCCGACACAAAUGCGUGCCGAAACCUAG
rnacentral:lncRNA from 1 species